GUCAUUCUACAUCAAACUCUCGUACUUAAUUUUUUUCUAUUCUUAACUGGAUGGCUUGUAUAGGAUGCAACUUUUCUACAAGCAGUUGGAACCAAACAACCAAAUGCUAAGAAGUGUUGACAGUUGAAUAUUGUAGAAUGAUUAAACUCAAAUGCAGUGUAUGUAUCAAUAGGUAUCAUACAGGUCAUUAUGAUAAGCUGGAAUCUGACAUCUUAAGGAAUUGCCAAAGAACUUAAAUAAAUAACAAAGCUUGUAUAAUGUCAGUAAGUUCUGUGCUAUUCUUUUGUUCCCACUUACAAGGCAAACAAGGAAGUAAAGAAGGCAGAGAUGGCCAAUUGAAUAAACACCCAAGUGAAAUCUUCUUCAUUAUUCACUCCUGUCAAUGCCAAAGCUGGUUCUGCAGCUACCAAUAUAUGAUGAAUUAUCGAAAACAAACCCUUAUAAAGGGGCAAAAUAAAUGAACAAAACAAACAGUGAGUUAAUGCCAAUUAAAGGGUCUUACAAUGGCUAAAAAUGUUCCAACUUGAAUAGCCAGUGAAGGUUUGAAGAAAUCAAAGUUUCGAUAGCCAUCAAAUGGUAUGGAAAUUACUUGUAAAAAUGAACAAGCUGAUAGAUGGAUAGUGAAAUUGAGAUUUUUUAUGACUAUAAAUAACACUUAACUAGCUCCUUUAUAUAGAGUUGCUGAGUCGGUUAGAGUUCCUGUUCCAAAUUGAAUUCACCAAAGACUAGGUUUGCCGAUUUUCUUAGAGCAACAAGGGUAACCAGAAAUAGCGAGACAAUAACAAGAAUACGACACAAUAGAGCAAAAUCAGAAAGAGAAUUCUAGAAUGAGCGAGGAGACAACAUAAAUUUUACAUAAUAGAGAAAAAUAAGAAGCAUACAAUGCAAUAGCUAAAAAAUACAGAUAACAUAGAUUAGUAGAAAUAGAAAUCGAAAACUCAAGAGAGAAGAGAAGAAAGUACUCACAGAGAUUAAACUUCAAUAGCCCUAAAUUAUUUUUAGGGUUUCCAACAAUUAGAAGCAGCAACCGAUGGAAGUUCCCUAUUUCCGUCUCUGAGAUCCACUGUUAGGAAGAAGAUUAAUUUUGGGAAAGAAUAAAGAUAAAUUUGGGGGGCGCGGGAGGAACGGGAAAUCGCGAAUCAAAAUAGAACUUAAAAUAGAACUUAGCCGGUACCUUUAUUUGCCCUUUCAAAAUGGGGGGAAUUAUUUCAUUAAUUAAGAGAUUGGGGGAAAUUUUUGGUGAAACUCUUUAGAGACACUUACAAAGUGUAGCUUUUAGGCUUAAGAAAUAGCAACGGUUAAAAAGUGUUGUAAUAUAGGUGACUAAGUGUUGUCAAAUAUUUUGUGAUUCGACAACACUGAAGGACCGUACUCUUUACUUUUUAAAAG
rnacentral:lncRNA from 1 species